CAAAAAAAUGAAAUAUUUGGCCCAUUAUGACGCCAGCACCACUUCCGAUAGGAUUUUCCGGUUGGAUCCCGAACCCGACGGGUUUCCACAAUGCAAAACGUUUAGUGGAAAAUAGGACGAAGCUUGAUGUAUAGGACUUCUGUGAGUCUGUGACCGGCGAACUCCGCGGACGACGAAGGAAAUUGUUACUGAAAGUGACUAGCGGCCGCUCAGACGCUCCCUUGUGCCUAACUGUUGUUUCCUCUUGCUUGUGGUCUCCUCUUAUUCUUUCCGGUCACUCAAUGUCGAAUACUUCAGAUAAGGAAUCCAUCAACCAACCUAGUUUAUGUGAAAACCUUCUCCAAGAGCAGAGUCUCUCAACCCUGGAAUCGAACAAUGCAGCUGAUAUAAAACACAUUUCAGAAUGUGAAAACAAAAUCAUCAGUUAUAUUUGAAGGGUUUCUAAUUACAACCAAACAAGUAAGAGGUUGAGUAUUUCAAGAAUAUAAAGGAGAUUCUUCCUUUGAAUCAGAAGGUGAUAAUCUCCAUGAAAAUGACAUGCAGUUCCUAAUUCUGCAUCCAGAACUCAAGUACCCAACAAAUUAACAUUCGAUAGCAAAAUCCAACCUCUUAUGGGAAGUCCAUACUUCAUAUCCAUCAUGGCAAAGUCACAUGUUCAAUUGCCAUAUCAACUGGUUGUCCCAACUCAUUUCCACAAAGCUCUUCCACUUUCUACUGUUCAGGGAAUCCUUCAAUGCCGAGGUAAUACAUGGCAAAUAAGAUACUGUGGUGAUUCCCCCUUGAGAAGAUUUAGUUGUGGAUGGCGUAAGUUUGUAGAGGACAACGAAUUGCAGGUGGGAGAUGGAUGUGUUUUUGAGCUUAUGGAUGAUAAGGAGCUGACGUUCCGUGUGCAGAUCCUUGAUGGGCAAAUCCCCUCUAAGUUUUUCAAAAAAGGGAGCUUGGAUCGACCAAUCAAUAUUGAUUAACUAAUGUUUCCUGAGGUUUCGGAGUAUCUUAAAAGCUAUGGUUGGCGCUGUUAUGUAUGCUGUUUCUGAACUUGUUUAAUUUAAGAUUUGCAUAAGGGAGACAAAUCUGUGUAUUUUACAUGAUUAUUAAUCUCAUUGCUUCUGAAUUAUUUGUAAAAUAAUUACAGUGAUUGCAUUUAGUUCUGUUAAAGUUUUUAUGCGCCAAAA